rnacentral:rRNA from 1 species
UACGUAGGGGGCAAGCGUUGUCCGGAUUUACUGGGCGUAAAGAGCGUGUAGGCGGCCAAAACAGGUCCGUUGUGAAAACUGGAGGCUCAACUUCCAGACGUCGACGGAAACCGUGUGGCUAGAGUCCGGAAGAGGAGAGUGGAAUUCCUGGUGUAGCGGUGAAAUGCGCAGAUAUCAGGAAGAACACCCGUGGCGAAAGCGGCUCUCUGGGACGGUACUGACGCUGAGACGCGAAAGCGUGGGGAGCGAACAGG